rnacentral:rRNA from 1 species
UACAGAGGGUGCAAGCGUUAAUCGGAAUUACUGGGCGUAAAGCGCGCGUAGGUGGUUUGUUAAGUUGGAUGUGAAAGCCCCGGGCUCAACCUGGGAACUGCAUUCAAAACUGACAAGCUAGAGUAUGGUAGAGGGUGGUGGAAUUUCCUGUGUAGCGGUGAAAUGCGUAGAUAUAGGAAGGAACACCAGUGGCGAAGGCGACCACCUGGACUGAUACUGACACUGAGGUGCGAAAGC